ensembl:lncRNA
GUGUGUUCUGCCUGUGCUGUGAUUGCCUUGAGUUGCUGUGCACCUGUGAGGUCUGGCCUUCUAAAUGGGGCAGUGGUGCAUUUAGUUAGAGGCAGCUAACUCUGAGUGCCCACUCUGUCCCUCUCUUUCAGGGAAGUGGACCUUGCGGACAGCCUGGAGCCACUGAUGGGCAGCCUGGAGGUGCUGCAUUUGAGCCACAAUGGCAUCUCCAAUUAUUGCCAAUCUGCAGCUCAGCAGGCUCACCAAUCUCAAAGCACUCUUCCUCCAAGGUAAUGAGAUCAGACAGGUGGAGGGCUGGGAGGGGCUGCACUAGUUGCAGGAGCUGGUCUUGGACCCGAACCGGAUCAAGAUCCUUCUUUGGUCAGGCUGUCCUGCUGGAGCUGCACCUGGUAGAGAACCGCCUCCGGGAGUUCAACCACCUCUUACCAAAAUGAGGAGGCUUUUCCUGGGCAUGAACAAACUACAGGGGGCAAGGCAAACCCUCCAUAGGCCGGUGGUGGUACACCUCUCCAGGCUGAAGGUUCUGGAUGAAGUGAUGGUCACCCUGGAGGAGAGGACCAGGGCUGAGCUACUCUGCACAGAGGCCCAGAUGAGAAACAAAACUGCCAACCACGCCCACAUUGCCCAGGCAGUGAGGACCUUCAGGCAGAUCAGAAGAAUGGCAAGCACCCUGCCAACCACCGGCCUCCUGCCGAACGGGUACAGGGCCCUUAUCACCUACCCCAACCAAUAGGACAGUAGAGCGGUGGUGCUCCUAAACCCGCAAUCAAAGCCCCCAGUACAGCAAUGGGAUGCUCCUGAUGCUCCUGUGUGUGCAAUUGCACUGACAGAGAAGUGUCACCACUGUAAUCUACUUAAUACUGUGAGGUUUGAAGUCACGUCCAUCAUACUCCUUUCCUCGCCUCCAAAACUGGAAAAAAUUUGAAAAACACCCACAGAUGCAAGGGCGUGUGAGGCUGGCAUGUUGUGUUCAUCGGGUCAAAUGGAUCCCCAACAAGUGGAUAAUCCAGCAUUAGCACACCUCUCUGUGGACAAUAAUCUGCAGUCACUCAGAUGGAGCCAUAACCUUGAAUGAGGUCCAAAUGGAUUGCAGAGAUCUGUCAGUUUCAGCAUGUUAGCCUCUUUUUAAAGACCCAGUCUGGUUUUCCC